AAGCCAUGAUGAGGGCAUUGGUUGGUGUAACCCUUGAAACGCUCCCAUGCUUCACAGAAAUCUCAUUUAUGAGUCU